AUAUCUCUCUGUACGGGAAGGAUGAGAAGCUUCGACUAAGGUUCGAUUCGAGCGAAAGCGAGAAAGCGUUGCCGCAGGCAACGACCCGAAGGGCGA
rnacentral:sRNA from 1 species